rnacentral:rRNA from 1 species
GACGAACGCUGGCGGCGUGCCUAAUACAUGCAAGUCGAGCGGACGAAUCGAAAGCUUGCUUUUGAUUCGUUAGCGGCGGACGGGUGAGUAACACGUGUGCAACCUCCCCUGUAUACGGGGAUAUCACCGAGAAAUCGGUUCUAAUACCGUAUAACACGAAGUUUCGCAUUACGUUUCGUUGAGAUACGGCGCAAGCUGACGCUACAGGGUGUUCCCGGGGCGUAUUUGCUGGUGGGGGAGGUAACGGCUUACCAAGGCGACCAUGCGUAGCCGACGACAGAGGGGGAUAGCCCACCCUGGGACUGAGACACGGACCAGACGACUACGGGAGGCAGCAGUAGGGAACCUGACGCAAUGGACGAAAGUAUGACGGAGCAACGCCGCGUGAGAGGAGAAGGCGUUCGGGUCGGAAAGCUCUGUUGUUAGGGAAGAACAAGUAACGCAGUAACUGGCGUUAGCGUGACGGUACCUAACGAGAAAGCAACGGCUAACUACGUG